rnacentral:misc_RNA from 1 species
ACUCUUCAACCCGCCCUUUUCUUUGUGACUAGGGGUCGGUGCUUGGAUUUUGAGCUCCUGCUAUUAAGUUAGCUGGCUCGUAAUGCAUUAGCAUUUCAACUUUCGUAAUCGGAUUGACUUGGCGUAAUAGACUAUUCGCUGAGGACACUCGCAAGAGUGGCCGAGAUGAGAAAUUAAAGAAAAGCUUCCAACUCUUCUAGUCAUAAACUUUUAAG